rnacentral:lncRNA from 1 species
GCCAGAGGGAGGGAAAGCCACUUACCCAGCUGAGCAACCAGGCAGUCCAAGUACAGAGUACACGUUAGCGCAAUGGAAGAGAACAGAAACUUCUGUUUGGGGGUGCCACUUUAAAUGACUCAUUCCUGGAGGCCAGAUGUGUGGAGGGCAAGGACCCUGAGAAAUCAAGAGUCAGUAUUUUGAGCAUACAAGAUGGGUAGGAGUCAUGGAUCCAAGAAAAGACAAGGAAGCAGAAACAAAGGAGUGGACGCUUCUGUCU